rnacentral:lncRNA from 1 species
AUGUAUGCUAUGUACAGCAAUACAUAACCGAUGAUGGAGUGACUCUCUUUGAUGUUGGCUGUCAAGAUCCUCGGGUAUGAUUGUCUGUUUGGUAACGUUGCUAAUACUUAUAAUUCCAGAUUUCUAAACAAUAACUAGUUUAAUGCAAUAAAGUAAGAUCCAAACUGACUCCAACAAGUUUUGCCUUACUUUUUUUACUGUUAUAUUAAGUUCCUUUUAAGGUUUAAGGGGAGAAUAUAUUAUUCGUCUUUCGACAAUGCAAUGGCGUUAGAUCAUUUAUCCAGAAUCGCGUUAAUGAAUGCACACACAUUUACAAAUUAUUUUUUUAGGCUUUUUGUUAAUAUUCAGCAUUUUGAUGCUUGGAUGAUUUUUUUUUAAUUUGAAUUUUGCUGUUGUAACGCCACUUCUGAGCAUCGCUUUUGGACUAUUGCGUGGCGGCUAGUUUUUAUAGAUAGAGGAAACCGCAGUGCAAGAGAAAACCCACCAACCUUCGAUUCGAAAAUUGACAAUCUUAGUCAAUUAAGAUUUGAGUCGAGUGCACCUGCAUGAGCGGGGUUCGAACUCCAGUGUUGACUGAUUAGUGAUUAUAGUAACUUCUUGGGCCACUCGGCCACUGAUCCCCCUGCUUGGAUGAUAAGGAAAAUUAUUGACAAAAUUUCAAUUUACAUAGAAAAAGCAGACAGGACACCAUACAGCCUUCAACACUGAAAAACAUAUACUGUAUAGGUGGAUAUAAAAGGUCACACAAUGAUCGCUGUAAAACAAUUAUACGAUUUAAAUUUAAUUUUAUCGACUCAUGUAUAAGCAAUACUCAUAUUUUUGAUAUAUGACUUCAUUUUUGAAUAGUAUCUUCAUCAUUCGUAGAGUAAUGGACGAUUUACUUUGCGAAACUGGUUAGUCACUACAGUAUCAUAAUUUAAACAAACACACAUUUUUAUGUUUUCUCUGAAUGUUAACGUUUUUUAUUUAGUAUGUUCUUUAUUUCAGUUAUGUGCAGCAAGUAGUAACCCCCAACCAGUAGGGAGACGAUAUGUAAAUGGAAGCAAACGUGACGUCACUAUUGUUUGCCAUCAAUGUUGUGACAACAAGGAUUUGUGUAAUAUUGAUGGACAUUGUGGGUCUAUCAGUAUGUUCAUUUGGCAGGUUUUGAAUUGAAGCGAAGGGGCCCAUUUGAAACAAUGACGACAGUUUGAAUUCUUUAACAACCAGAUAAAUUCAAAAACAUAAAAUUACUCAAAAUUUGUUUUCACAAUGAAGAAUUAAUUCAUCAGUAUAUUGUUACCCUCUUAAUAUAAAUGGUCUAAGUAGGCACACUAUCAAUUCUUUAAUUGUUACUGUAUUUGCGACUUCAGGAAGCGAAUUAAUUUAGCUACAGCUGUUAAAUGUAGUUACUUUCUUUCGCUUAGAAAAAACAAAUCAAAUCUGCUGCAAAAUACUAGGUCCAAUAACACCCCUAUUUGACCCCAAAAUAUAGCAGUUUUACAAAAUUGUUAAAAUGUAAAUUUUUAGUUAUUUAUUGGAACGAAAACUUCUUCUGUAAUAUAAAUAUGGGCUGUUUUUGACAAUACAGUGCACAUAUAUCGGCUAUACUGCAUUUUUAAGUCAUGCUAAAUUACUGAAAUCUUAACAAUUUUAGCAUUUAAGUUUAAUUUUAGACGCUUUCCGUCUAAAAUGAAAAUGGCCGCAUUUGUGUUCAUUCAUAAUAUUGAAAUGUAAGUUGUUUUUGAUGAUAAUAUAUAACAUAUAUAAAGGUUGAGGAUGAACACGGAUGCUUCCACUUUCAGUUUUGCAAAACAAAUCUGAAAAGUAGCAUGUUUUGGCAUGUUUGAUAGUUUUUUCAUAUUUAAGCUUGAAUCGGAGCGUUUUAAAUGAUUAAAUCAGUUAAAAUCUGGUACAUUAAUUAAUUGAAUCGACUGAAAUAGACACUAAAGUGUUUAAAAAGUGUCCAAAAUGUUUCGUCAGAUGAACCUGAAAUUUGAGGCCAAAAUUGGCCCUUACCGGACCUACUCUUUUUCAUUAUGAUUCAUUAAGUCUACCAUGUCUACAUCAGCUAUAGAUAUUUUGAGUCGUAAACGUAGGAUCUGAUAAACAUCUCAGAGAUUUGCAUGGCAACGCAUAUAAUAUUCCCUUGAAAAACAAGGGUUUUUUAAUCCGUAAUCAGACAUUUUUCAAUAUAUAAAAAACGAAGUCAAAAUAUCUCCUGUUGCAAAAACUGAAAAUUUAAUCUGUUUCAUCUUGAAUAUAUCAUAUGUUUAUUUACGUGCAUUUUCUAAAACUAAGGACCACUUCCCUGGAAAACAAAUCAACCGAACCGAGCUACCUUCAAACCUGGUUUGUAACAUUUCCAGGUGAAAACAUAUACCAAAUAUCAAGCAAGAUGACAAAAUGUUGAAAGAUAAUUCAACGAACAGACAAGUGGAGUCCAUAUCAAAAUAAUACUAAAAAAUGAAUCUUCAACAUGCAUUAGUGAAAGAAUCCUAGAUACAACUUAAUGACGUGUGUGGUUACUUUCUUAAAUGUUUGCAAUCUCUUCAAUUACGUAUGAAACAUUAUUAUAUUCUAUAUACAAAUUGCACGUACUGUACUCUAAAUUUGUUAUAGAAUUUAACUCUCCUAUUGGACAAAAGCUGUGUUACAAAUGUCAUAAGGCAGGAAGCCCUGAUGAAUGUACUAACAUAGGUCUAUGUGACCAGGACAACGUAUGUACAAUAUAUAGUGAAAACGCUCAUUCUAGUAGAAAAAGAAAUUGUCGAAUUUAACGUUCCAUAUUCUUUUAAUUGAAAAAAAAUCUACGAACAAAUUAAAAACCAUUGUCUUGCAAGUAUAUUUUGUUGCCUUUGUCUUCACAAAACUGGUUUAAAAUAGGCUAUAAGCUUUAAAACGACUAAGUCGCUCUUAUGGAUCUAUGUGCAUCUUUUUACAAUAGCAAAAAUCGAAUAUUACUUGCGUUUCUGUUUUAUUAAUUAUGUGUUGCCGAAGUUCCAUUUAGUUUAUAGAUUACCGGUUUUAACUAAGUUUGUAUGUUGCCGAAACAUCAAGAACUGACAGAUAUCGAUACAACCGGUAUUGUAUGAAAGUAACAAAUAAAAAUAAAAUUAACGCUUGUUUACAUUUGCGAAGCUCAUUUUUGGAACACUGAACCUAGACAUUGUUAAGACUAAACGUGUAAAAAGCUCGCUGAUCAAACUGAUAUCGACUGACGAUCUCGACUAUGUUGAUCUAUAUGUAUACUUUAUUCAAUUUAUAAAUAAGAAGAUGUGGUAUGAUUGCCAAUGAGAAAACCGUCCACAAGAGACCAACAUGAUACAGAAAUUAACAACUAUAGGUCACCGUACAGCCUUCAAUAAUGAGCAAAGCCCAUACUGCAUAGUCAGCUAUAAAAGGUCCAGAAAUUACAAUGUAAAACAAUUCAAACGAGAAAACUAACGGCCUUAUUUAUUUAUGAACUAAAAACAAAUAUGUAACACAUAAAAAAACGACAACAACUAAAUUACAGGCUCCAUUGAUAGUUUUUGUCAAAUGGGCUUUAUCGCUUACAAAAAAAGGAAACAACAAAUUCAGCCAUGUUGACAUUUUUUACGGUAUUAUCUUAAUUUGUGUUAAUGUCCCGCCGCAACGGACGGGCUAAAUUUGUUACCAUUGUUCGUCUGUACUAACUAACGUCCCACAAUUAUUUUGCUUAAACCAAAAGUGACCUCUUAAACUUAUUUACAAUGAUUCUUACCAUAACACACAAAUCAAGUUGAAAUCGGGUGGUGUUACUUGUACAGUUCUCUAGUCAAGUCCCCUCAUAACGUUUACGCAAUUAGAGGCGUCAUCUGUGUCUCAUUAACACAAUCCCAAUAAAUUUUGUAUCUUUAAUGUUCCAAGGUAAUAUGCAAAUAUGAGAACGAUCGGUAAAAUCCUCCUGUUCUGCAAAAAGGUUUGCCUUAUUGGCAUGUGGGAUCAUCGGAAACGUUUCUAAAACUGACCUUAAUGGUGAUUGUGGACGAACUCUGUUAUCACUGAUUGGACUGCUUGUAUAAAUUAACAAAUGAUGAUUGUGGACGAAUUCGGUUAUCACUGAUUGGACUGCUUGUAUGAAUUAACUAAUGAUAACCAAUUAGCAUAUUAAUCUAUUCCAAUAACAAAUCAUAAUAUAAAAUAAAAUUUGUAGAUUUAGCUAACAAAGUCCUUAUAUUUGUAUAAAGUAACAUUUGUUUAUAGUGGAAAAUUGUUUUAACUUUAAAUAAGCUACAAUUUAAAAUUGCUUGCUAGUCUCUCUCUGUGAUUACCAUCAGAUAACUCUGGUUCAUUUCUCAAUCAAUCUAUCAUUAGGGGAAGAUAAAUAUAUCGAUUUUCAUUUAUAGUCUGUUUUCAUAAAUGAUAUACGGUUCUUUUUUUUUUUGGUAUGUAAUCAUUUUAAACUUUUCAAAUUUAUGACAUUAUAUUAAUUUCGUUCAUCAAUUUUUUUAUACACCAAUACCAAAAACUGAAAUAUGUUGAAUUGAUACAUUUUGUAAUUAUUCAAAAUUAUAUCAGAAACCUGAACUUAAUUAUAAUGAACCUGUUAAAGGGAGACAAUACUCGCAUAACUUUUUCGAAUUGCCACAUAAUACAAAGGAAUGUCACUUUUGCAUACAAAUGGCACAUCAAUAUAAUUAACUAACUGUUAAAAUAUUUCUUUGCAAUUUUUUAAAACUUCCUCAGAAAAAUGCUCGAGCCACUUGACUUGCAUAGCUCAUAAUUAACGUUUUUACACAAUAUUUAAAUUAAGUAGCUGAAGAUUAUUCGCUUCUCAAAGUGUAAGACGCAAUAAAAAUCGCAUGCUUGAACCAUCUUACCCAAAUACAGAUUUUCUUAAGUUCUGAAAAUUUCGACAUUUCUUCGUUUAUUUUUAUUAAAACCGGUUUUAAACAAAUCACAAGUACGUGUUCUGAUCCGACUUAAUACCUAUAUCCCGAUAUCGUCAGGUAAAUUUGCUAAACCAAUCCACAGUGAUGGCAAUAGCUCUCACUUAACGUGGAGUCGUUUGAGCUUAUACAAUAUAACGUGGUGAAUUGAUAGUUACACAAUGUGCUAGUUACCUACCGUGAUAUAUAUUGGGUCACUAAAAUCCAUUUUCGGUUCGAAAUUUGAAAUUUGCAGACAACAUUCAUAUCGUAUAAGUUCACAAGCACACUAUGUAACAAAUAUACAUUCCUUACUUUCUAAACAUGCGUCAAUUAAACUAGUGGUAUAUCAAAGUGAUGGAAUCUUAAAUAUAAAGAACCUACUUCCGUUGGUCUAUCAGAAAAAAACGUUGAUAGCUUUUAAUUUGCUUGAUUUCUAUAUUGGUUUUUGUUACUUUCCUAAUCUGUUGUACGGCCGAAACGUGUCAAAUUUUCCUCAAAUAUGUGCUUUUUUCGAAAGGGAUACCCCAUUACUAACUGAGUAUUAUAAUACUUACCCUAUAUUAACCAAAGUCAUAUUAAAUAUACACGACCUUCACGUGAUUGUUUUUUACCAAUAAUUUUCUUAGAAAUGUAUUGGUGGUAAGAUAAAUGAGAUUAUUGAUACAAUACACCGACAAUAAUUAUAUAUAAAAGGCUACAUACAGUUUUCAGCAACAAAUAUGUGGCUAUCCAUAAUAUCAUAAAAAUCUUGAGUCUAUAAAAAUUGUUACUUUCUUUUAACAUACACAAUACAAGAUCGUCCACCACAAACUUUUAUCCAAAUAAUAGUGAAGCAUCGAAAUAUCUAACAGGACAACUACUGACGAUGAGCAUGCUCAUUGAAAUAUUGUGUUACGAAUUAUGACUGAGAAUUAUUAAAUACUAUUUAUUCAUACGAUCGAAGAUUAUAGGUUGAUUUUUUUUGAUAUUUUGGCAGUUUAUGGAUGUAUUUAAAAUAUUUGUUUCAAUUUUCAAGAUGCUAUAGGACAAUGUUUAUAAAUUCUAUUCAUUAUCUGCGUAAUUAUUUUAUUUACCGCUGAUAUUGAUCUCUUCUUUUCGUUUUAGUCUUGUUCCAUUAACAUAGAAACAAAUAUCCUUGGUGUAUCAAAAUGGACGAGCGGCUGUUCACGUCAUGUGGUAAAUUACAAUUAAUCACAAUUUCCAAAAAAUCGUCCUUAUGAAUAAUAACAAACACCAAAGAACUAAACUUUUCAGAGUUUAUUAUUACCGGAAGUAGUUAUUUGGUGAAUAUAGUGUUUACUAUGCAUUAAAAUAAUAACAAACACCAAAGAACUAAACGUUUCAGAGUUAAUUAUUACCGGAAGUAGUUAUUUGGUGAAUAUAGUGUUUACUAUGCAUUAAAAAAAAUCAGUCAGUCAUAUUGUUGAUUUCCUAAAUGAAAUGGACUGAUAUCAUGUAACAUAAAAGGUAAUUUUGAAGUACGUAAGGCCCAUGUUUCCAGAUUAGUAUUCAUGAGAUUAACAUUAUUUGCUGGCAACAACACAAAACAAAUCAAACAUUAGGGUCAUUUAUGAUAAAUCAUUGAUCUUUUUGUAUCCAUGAAAACACAAAACUGGAAUCCCAAAAAUUGCAUUUGUUGAUUGAGUUUUACUCAUCCUUAAGAAUUAUGUCCCCAUGUGUUGAUUCAAUGCUUAAUAUAUGGAAAUUUUAUAGAAAAUCCACAGCAUUUAUCCUAUCACCCUCAUUUUUGGCAAUUUCAUGACUGAUAGAUAUAAAAUUAUUGCAUGCAGUGUUAGCAUUGAUUUCCUCAAAACGAGUUAAUUAAUGAAGCUAUUAGUUACAAAUUAAAAUAUGGACCAAAUCAAGUUCACCUUUUAGGGUGCGCUAGCGCUCGACUUAAGUGACUCAAGACGAGGUAUUUUGGAAUUUACAGGUUGCUUAGAAUUUUAUAUCAGCACAUCAUAAACAAGCAAUUGAUUAAUAUAUGUUUCAAAUUUUAUUACAAAAAUCUCCGUAUUAAAGGCUGUGGAUUUUCUAUAAAAAUAUUGGUUUAUUUGCCAAAAAGUACUCUUUUUCUAUUAAAUGCAAUGAAACAAUAAAUACUAAUGCUUUGCAUCAAGUUUCCCCUUCGUAUAUGUACAAAAUAGCCCGUCUUUAUUAUUCAUUACAUCUGUAGUUUUGAUACAAUUGAAGUUUGAAAAUUCGUACAAAAAUGGCUACAGAAGGGGUCAUAAACCUUUAAAGUACAUACAAUAAAAUUGAGAAUGGAAAUGGGGAAUGUGUCAAAGAGACAACAACCCGACCAAAAAAAAAAACAACAGCAGAGGGUCACCAACAGGUCUGCAAUGUAGCGAGAAAUUCCCGCACCCGGAGGCGUCCUUCAGCUGGCCCCUAAACAAAUAUAUACUAGUCCAGUGAUAAUGAACGCCAUACUAAUUUCCAAAUUGUACACAAGAAACUAAAAUUAAAAUAAUACAAGACUAACAAAGGCCAGAGGCUCCUGACUUGGGACAGGCGCAAAAAUGCGGCGGGGUUAAACAUGUUUGUGAGAUCUCAACCCUCCCCCUAUACCUAUAACCAAUGUAGAAAAGUAAACGCAUAACAAAAUGUAUACCAGUCCGUGUAAUGGAACAACCGAUUCAUUUUUUUCUAUUUUUUAAAUGGAGGAAUCAACGUGUGAAAUGGGUGUAGAAAAUUGGUCACUACAAGUCUUCUGUCUACAGACAGUAGAGAAUUAGCCCAGUAGUCAGCACUUCGGUGUUGAAAUGAAUAUCAAUUAUGUGGUCAUUUUUAUAAAUUUCCUGUUUACAAAACAAAGGAAUUGCUUGUCCAAGGAAUACAUUACCUUAGCCGUAUUUGGUACAAUUUUUUGGAAUUUUAAAUCCUCAAUGCUCUUUAACUUUGUAGUUGUUUGGCUUUAUAACAAUUUUUAUAUGAGCGUCACUGAUGAGUCUUAUGUAGACGAAACGUGCGUCUGGCGUGCUAAAUUAUAAUCCUGGUACUUUUGAUAACUAUUUAUAUAAUCAGAACUAAGUUUAGAUUAUAUAGUUAUUAAGAUAUUGGUUCCCUUCUUAAAUGAAAGCGAGUGAUGAAUAUACUUUACGGAAAUGCGAUCUAUAUAAUACUUAUAAAACUUAUAAAACGAUUUUUUCAGCAAUGUAGUGCGACAAUUGGGUCAAAGUAUUGUUGUAAUUCCAGACUUUGUAAUAGUUUAUGUCAUACAGUAACAUCAGUAGUUCAACGGAGUGAGUAUAUCCGUCCAUAUUGAUUGAAUAUGUUAUUUUGUCUUGAUAUCUUUGAUGUUCAUCCAUCAAGUUGUUAUUGUUUAAAUUAAUUUAGACCAAAUGUAGAAUAGCAUUAUCAAAAAAUAAAUACUACUCACAAAGAUCGCAAGGAUGGGUGAACAUAUGUUAUAUGUAAUAUUUACUAGAUAAUAAAAUUAAGCUAUACAAUUAAGAAUGGAAGUUCGGGAUAUGUUAAAGAGACCGAACAGCAAACAACAGCCGAACUAGAAAUGUUAUAGAUCAAUACUAUACAAUACAAAAAUAUUAAAUUUGGGUCGCUUUAUUUCCGUUAUGAUUAAUAAUAAAGACACGUUUGUCAGAAAUGUAUGCAGUAACAUUAAAUUUCAACUUGAUUUAUUUGAAAUAUGGUGCAUAUUAUACUAUUUAGGUAUUCAGUACUGUUCGUAACAUGUAUAGGAUGCACGUAUAAUGCAAAUAGGUAUAAGGGAUACAUUAAUUACUGCGCGACUCGUAGACGUUUAGUGGAAAGAGUGAGAAGCGUAUGAACAAAAAUCAGUACCAAUGUUUAUAUAAAAUCAUAAUUUGACAGAAACUUUUAAAUAGAUUUUUCAGCUUGUUUUGGCAUGUACGUUUUUAUUUUAACAAACUGUCAUUCUAUAAAAUUGAGAAUGGAAAUUGUGUAAUGUGUCAAAAAGACUACUACUACCCGACCAAACAGUUGAAUACAGCCGAAAGUCAGUAAUGGGUCCCCAAAACAGCGAGAAAAUUCCGCAGCCGGAGGAAUGUUUAAGCUGGUCCCAAAAAGCUAUUAAAGUCCCUAAAAUUUUUGUUGCAAUUCAUUGUUUGCUUUUUGUGCUUCGAAAUGUCUACACGCCUAUUGCAUUCAUAUUUUGCAUUACAAUUCGUGUAUUGCGUGUAUUUUGAUGGCUGUUCUAGAAAGAGGUGUUUUGAGAUUAAAAUUUUCGAAACUAAGUGUGCAUUGGUUUUAUCUAUGUUUAACAAACUUAUUUAUUACAGGUUGCCCUUCAAAUUGGAUUUCUUGGUGUAACAAAUGCCUAUUGUUUUCUUCUGUGGACAAAUGCUGGAUGGAUGCAGAGGUAUUUUAAGUGACAAUAUGUCUUAUCUAUGUUUCCCAUGAUGACAUAUUUAUUCAUUAUAGAUUGGAUUCAAAUUGGAUUUCGUGGUGUACCAAAUGCCUAUUGUUUUCAUCUGUUGACAAAUCAAGGGUUGAUGCAGAGUUAUUUAAGUGACAAUAUGUUAAGUGAUUUGAUUUUGCCAUGUGAUUAUAGACAUUUCGAUUAGAUUUUCCUCUGAGUUCAGUAUUUUUGUGAUUUUACUUUUUGCUUCACUCACAAUUUAAAACAAACUUUAAUAUUUUAGCCUUGAGCCAAGGCUCCGUGUUGAAGGCCCUACCUUGACCUAUAAAGGUUUACUUUUAAAAAUUGUAACGUGGCUGGAGAGUUGUCUUAUUGGCACUCAUACUACAUAUUCCUAUGUCUAUUGUAUAUACCAUCUGAAAAUGGAAAUAUCGGAUUCAUUUUGUAUAGACUGUUUUGAAUGGCAAUGAAAACAUAAUACGAAGUUCAUAACCAAAUUACCAUUGGUAUAAGUAUCAAAGCUGUUGUACAUUGUAAUACAUGUUGGAUUACAAUGGUUACAAAACAUAUUUUGGUAACUCUUAACUAUAUGUUAGUCAAGAACCGCAAAGCAAUUUAACUUUUGGCAUUUUAGUGAGAAUGAAGUAUGUUCAUUUAUGCAUAAUAACGGAUACUGCUGAACAAAUUUUAUAAAUCUAUUUAAGGGACACAGGCUAUACAAUAUUUUUUGUUAUCAAAAAUAUUUUAUUAGUGAAAUAAUGAAUCACUUUUAGCUGUCAGCAUGGUUCAAUUUUGUCAAUCUAAGCUCAGAAACAUUGAUGAUACAGUUAAAGACGAUGAUUGAUAUAAAUUUUUAAUCUGAAAUAUGAAACAGACAAAGCAAAUCCAAUGGCACGAAUUCCCUUUCUAUUUUCAUGUAUAUUUAUGUUUAAAAAGCUUGUAUGACAAUUGGAGGUGUUCAAAGGUCAAAUCUAUAGAUACUAAGAUUUUGUCAAAACCCACAUAAAGAUGUACACACUUAACAAAGCUACAUAUUCUCGAGCCUAAGUCUUGUAAAUUGCUUAUAUUAGACUGUUUCAAAAUUUGGAUAAAUGUUAUACAUUUUUAUAAAUCAAAUAUAAGACUCCGAGUAAAAUCGGUGAGCAUCAAUUUGACAGCUAGUGUCUUUUUAACUUGAUAAAGACGAAACGUCAAGUUAAUAUAAAAAAAUGGGGGAACUCCAUAAUCGCAACGCUACAAAAAUGAAUGCGUCGAAUGCAAAUAAUAAAACAUAAUAUUACUGUAACACAAUGAUUAAUUCUGUGCUGGUUUUUUUCCUAAAAUUUUUUUUGACUUCGCUACAGAGAUACUGUAAAAGUUUGCAUGGACAUUUGGUUGAGCUAAAAGAUUCUGCUACCAACACAUUUGUCAAAGAUCAUUUGAAAGCGAUGAAUGGUAAGCUACCAAUACUUUUUAUGAUCGAUAACGAUACUUGCCUCUCAAACGUACACAUGAGAGGUUUAGCGCUAUAACACCAGGUUCAAUUCACCUUAUUCUAUAUUUGAGAAUGUCUGUAACAGGUCAGGUAUAUGGCAGUUGUUGUCCAUUCGUUUGAUGUGUUUUUUCAUUUGAUUUUACAAUAUGAUUAGGAACUUUUCGUUUUGAAUUUUCCUCGGAGUUCAGUAUUUUUCUUAUUUCAAUUUUAAUUGAUAAAAAUGAAAUGAAAUGGUCAUUUCAGUGAUUUGAAAUAAGCUAUAAGAUAUAAUUUUAAGAUUGGUGUAAUGUACUACAGUUUAUUCAGGGUGCGAAUACAGCUGUAUAUAUCUUUUUGUAGUUAUCACUUUUAUAAAAAAAAGUUGAUCUAUUUGUAAAAUAAGCUGUUUCAAUAUUUCAGCUAACUCAACCAUUUGUCAACUGUUAAGAAUGUUUGAUUAAAAUCAUAAAAAACAUACACUAAUUUUUAAAUAAAAAAGGAUGUAUAUUGAUAACUAACUGUUUGAAUAACAAAAUUACAAAUAUUAGUAUUAAAACCUUUUAUUUAAUUUUUUGAAGGCAAUAAUCAUGUAUACUUUGUUGGAGCCACUGAUUUUGCUAAAGAGGGCAGUUGGAUUUGGCAUAAAAGUAAUACACAUGCAACAUUUUUUGAUUGGGGAGUGGAUCAAAUACCAUUCGUUGCCAAUCAUCAUGAAAAUUGUUUAACAUUAGACUACCAUGAAAACUUCGUAUGGCACGACUACCCAUGUCAAGACAAGUUACACUUUAUUUGUGAAAAAUAAAACAUGAGCAUAAAUAGCCUGCUGUUUUGAAUUAUAAUGCAUAUCCUACAUUGUUGUUCAUAUUUAUGAACCAAACAGGUGAUUUGGGUUGACAUAUGGUCACUUACUGUCUUAUUCCUAACGACGUAAAACCCAAGAUACAUUAUGACGUUUGUUUGAUUAUGCGAGUUGUGCAAGUUCGCAGAUACGCCCGAUCAAUUUUUAGUGUCUGUUUUUCUGUGCAAGUUGUCUGCUACGUUCAAUCGGAACAGUGUGAUAUCCAGUUAACAAACACAAACAAAAUUCACUAUUCGUAUGAUAGAUUCGAGAAAGCCAAUAAACCUUGUCACGCCAUACUUUAAAAUUACAUAUGUCUCGAACAUUUAAAUUCUUGGUUUUCCUAUACCAAACAGUAUGCGAUGUAGGUUUGACUAUUUUUUGAAGGCCGUACGAUGACUAAUAGUUGUUAAUUUCUGUGUCAGAUAGUCACUUGUGGAGAGUUGUCUCAUUGGCAAUCGUACCACUUCUUACUUGUGCUCAUUCGUGUCCGUCGUCGUUCAACGUCGUCUGUUAAGUUUUACAAAAAUCUUCUCCUCGGAAACUACUGAGCUAAAUUUAACCAAACCUGGGCUCAAUCAAUUUUGGGGUUUCUUGUUCAAAAAUGAGAUGGAUGAUCCCGCCCGACAAUCAAGAUGGCAAAUAUGGUUAAAAUCAGAACACUGGGGUUAAUUUUUUUUUAUCUUAUUUCUCUGAAACUAAAGCAUUUAGAACAAAUGUGACCGUGGAUUGAAAUAGUCAUCGUGUUGAGAUCUUUUUGCUCUUAAACUUUCAGACGAAUCAGAAAACCCGUUGUUAUGUUACUGCCCCUGAAUAUGUUAUUAUUAGAAAAUUUUACAGUUUAUGUAUAUAUUAUCUUUACUAUUAUUACAGAUAGAAAUAAACUGCAAACAGUAAUUAUGUUAAGUAAGAAUUGCAAAUAAGUUAAUAAGAACAAAAUUGUUAAUUGACCCUUUAAGCCCACUGUCCACCAAGGUUCAACAGGAGAAGAUGUCAGCAACAGUACGGUCUUCGACAAUGAUAAACAACCAUACUGUAUAGACAAAUUCAAUUCAAAUAACUAUUGGCCUUA